rnacentral:lncRNA from 1 species
GUCGAACCUCAUUCUUCUGCAGUUGAUGUUACGGAUUAGCCCCCCUCUUCAAGCCAGCAGCUUUGCUCAGCAUUUUCUAUCGACUGUCAGCCUGUAGAGAUGAUUCAUACGUCCAAUUCUUUACUCAAGUUUUUCCCUCCAUAUACACUAAGGCACCCUUCCAUAGUAGUCUUUGAUGUUGGAAGUUUUUUUACUUCACCACACCUGAAGAUAUAUCGAAGUAUAAGAUUGUAGUUGUUGUACAUAUGAAUUGGUUGAUUCUGUCAUUCUCAUUCUGAGACCAAUAUAAAUAUUCUUGAGUGGUAAUCCCUUGACAGAGAAAAUAUGUACGCGGUAGUACUGGAUAAACGGAACUUAUUUUUAUUAUGUCCAAGAAAUUGUUAGACAAAGAGUACACAACAUAAAACAAACUAUAAAUUAAUAUAACCUUGUAAUCAUAUCAUAACACAAAUUAAACCGCAAGCAUUAGGUUUUUCCUAUUAUUCUAUUUCACUUAAGGACUGUCACGAACCAAAUAAUCAUAAGUGGCACCCACACUAAUUUUCCUAUGGAAGAACCAUCUAAACUGAACCAUUACCCAAAUACUUAGUCAAUAUUAGAUAAUAUUAUUAUAAAACUUAACAUAAUAACAAAUAUCCAGGACUAAUUAUUAUUAAGGCGGAUUUUCAAACAAACUACUUACUAAAAUUCCCAGGACCUGAAAGUCAUUGUACAAGAACUACUAACAAAAAUCAUAUCUAAAGUGAUAUCCAAAAAUAAAGUAAAUAAAGAAUGUUUCAUUGCCCGAAAGAUGGACAAGAACAAAUAAGAUGACCCAUGGCAGCCUGGAGACGGAGUGCUCACCCUUGGAUCAAGAUUUAACUCUAGAGAUGAGGUCAUGUCUGAGCCUAGAAUACUUUCUGCACUCAACAAAAGAAGAGUACAGGAUAGUAUCAGUACAAACCAUUAUGUACUGGUAUGUAUCAUAGGUCAACUCAAUUUAAUAGCAUGUACACAACAUAAAUCAAAUAACAAGUAGACAGACAUCGUCACACAACAAAUAUUCAAUGAAUCAACAAUACAACAACAACAGGUCAAACAGUGCUCACAAACAAGCCACAUAACCAUCAAGAGUAUCAACCAUAGUGUAAAACAUCCACAGAAAUAACGCAAAUAUGUACACACAUGCUAUGGGACUUAUUCUUGCCCAAAUAGUCAUGACCUGGAGCGAACAAUCUAUGUUCAUGAACCAUACCGGUGUGGUACCCGAUCCAACAUAAAUAUAAACGUACCGGCAUGUUACCCAAUCCAACAUAAAUAUAAACGUACCGACGUGGUACCCGAUCCAACAUAAAUAUAAACAAGUAUUAUCAAUAUCAAUUUACACAACCUCACAACAUACAACACAAUGUACCAAGUUUUCAAGUACACUUAAAGUCAUAAGACAAUUCUAUCAAGUAAAUUUUCAAUAAAUAUUUAUACACGAAUCAACAAUCCAAAUAUCAACAAUUUCAAGCAUGUCCGAAUACCAAUUCACAAGUAUCCAAUUUAGGAGCAUACGCACAAUUAAGUUGAGUCUAAACUCCAAUUAAACCGUAACCUACCUCAAUCAAAGAAACCAAAUGCAAGCUACUUUACAAUGGUCUCGCCCUUCUGUAAAGUCUCUCAAAUGACCAAAAUUUGUUCAAAUAUAUAAUCUACAUAAGAGUAUAAACCUAAUAACGUAUAAACCUAAUAACACUCAUUUAUAAAUUCCUACUCUAAAAUUUCCUGACCAAAAUUUUAAUUUCUCUAAUACUCAAAUCUGAAGCAACGUAAUCAAUGUACGAAAAUUCAGAUUCCCUCGUAUUCACAUGAACCUUAACAUUAGUGCCAAUGAUUGACAAUCAUUACCUAACAUUUUAAUAUAUUAAAUUUUUCCACUAAUUCCCUAAUGAUUGUUGUAAUCAUUACCAUGAUUUUGCAUGAUAUUUGAUUCCACCUAAUUCUCAAAAUUCAUCAUUCAUUAAUAUGCUACCCACAACUAUUUAAUACGAACACAGAAAAUCACCUGAAGCUUGUUCUUCAUCCCUCGACGCCGCAAUAAUUUUUGUUUUGCCCCCUUCUUU